CUCUAGCCGUGGGUGAAGCGGCAUCCUUUUGUUUAAUUGUGUUCAAGACAAUUAAACAAAAGAUAUAGCGGAACACACGACUGUUA
rnacentral:sRNA from 1 species